rnacentral:SRP_RNA from 1 species
UCUUUAGACCUAUGCAAUGAGGCUGAAAAGUAAUACUUCAGGGUGGGAACACAGCAGAGUCCUUUUUUGUUUUGUGUGCCGUAGGUAUCUGAAGAGGG